GCUUAAGGUUUCUAUUUUUCUAAUAAAGUAUUUGAUUUAAGCCCCUUUUUUCCCUUUAAGGCCAAAUAAUUAGAGCUGUUUUAUAUAUCUUUGAUAAUGAAACAUAUACAUGACACAUAAAUACAGACAUGUAUUAGACACACAGGUAGAAAUAGAUCUUAGAUUUGUAAGACCUCCUCUUUUUUCCCCUCUUAUUUUAGACUUCCAAUUUUUUUUUUUUUUAGAUGCAGUCUCACUCUGUGGCCCAGGCUGGAGUGCAGUGGCGUGAUCUUGGCUCACUGCAACCUCCAUCUCCUGAGUUCAAGCAAUUCUCCUGUCUCAGCCUCCUAAAUAGUUGGAAUUACAGGCAAGCACCACCACGCUCAGCUACAGGAAUUUAGCCAAUUCAGAGGAAAUCUUCCCCAUAAUUAUGGAACUUUCUUACAGAUUUUACCAAGUCUGGUCAACCCAAUAAGAAAAAGACUGAAAUAACAACAACAACUUCAACAAAUAAAAAAAAACAGUUAAGCUAAAUAAACAGAUGAUUGCAGAAUUUAUGUGAUUACUGGGUACUCUAAUGGUAAGGAGAAAUUAAGACCAGCUAGUUGUUAAUCUUAACUUUUAGUCAUUAAGGAGAAUUUCCAAGACAAAACUGCAAUCCAGCUGCUUACCUAGGAAUACGGCUUAGGCUGAAAACUUCUAUCGUCUUAGAAAUGGGAAUAAACCUCACACUCACCGUCCCUGUUGGAAGCAAGCUGAAACUCCAAAAAAAAAGUUGCCUGUUGUCCAUCAUCAUGGUGAAGCGGCGUCGUUGUCUGGGAACCCAAUUGGAGACGUUGGAUAUUUUAUCAAGUCUUUGACUGGAAUGACAUUUUUUCAGAAAUAACCAGACUGCUUUGAGGAAUUAAAAUUGACUUUAAGGGCUGAGAAAAACCCCUUGGAAAAACUGGCAUGGUACCCUCUGCAUGCAAUUCCUUUACAAAGCUCCUGACCUGUGUUCUGAAGGCUGGGAAGUCCAAGAUUAAGGCGUCAACAGGUCUUGUGUCUGCUGAGGGCUGUCUCCCUGAUUUGCAGAUGUCUGCUUUCUUGCUGUGUCCUCACAUGGGAAAAAGAGAGAGAAUUUGCUGGUAUUCCUUUUUAUAAGGACACUAACCCCAUUCAUGAGGGUCCCACCCUCAUGACCUCGCCUAAACCUAUAACCUCCAAGGACUCCAUUUCCAAAUACCAGCAACCACAUGUGUGAGCUUAGAAGAGGAUCCUUCCCCAGGUGAGCCUUGAGAUGACCCUGGCCUGUGACUUGAUGGCAGCUUUUGAGAGACUGAGCCAGAGGCCUCCAGGUAAGCCCUUCUCAGAUUCCUGAACCACAGAAACUGUGAGAUAAUCAAUUUUAUUGAUAUCUUGUGGAUAUUGAUAUCCCCAGUUUUAUUGUGGAAUAGAUAACUGCCACACAGCUCCUGACAACUGGCAUCUUGACACAUGUUCUGUGCUCCAGGUCCCAGUAACUGUGCCCAUCCAUUGUUACCACAGGUCACAGUGGCCCUGGCCCUGGGGCAUUAUACUCUCUCUUGGUGUAUUAGUCCAUUCUUAGGCUGCUAAUAAAGAUAUA
rnacentral:lncRNA from 1 species